rnacentral:rRNA from 1 species
UACAUGCAAGUCGAGCGCACUGGCCCAACACGAGAUGACGUGCUUGCACUGAGUUGACGUUGGAUUCCCAGUGAGCGGCGGACGGGUGAGUAACACGUGGGCAACCUGCCCUGAAGCGGGGGAUAACAUCUGGAAACAGGUGCUAAUACCGCAUAACAACGAAAACCACAUGGUUUUCGUUUCAAAGAUGGUUUCGGCUAUCACUUCAGGAUGGGCCCGCGGUGCAUUAGCUAGUUGGUAAGGUAACGGCUUACCAAGGCGAUGAUGCAUAGCCGAGUUGAGAGACUGAUCGGCCACAAUGGAACUGAGACACGGUCCAUACUCCUACGGGAGGCAGCAGUAGGGAAUCUUCCACAAUGGGCGCAAGCCUGAUGGAGCAACACCGCGUGAGUGAAGAAGGGUUUCGGCUCGUAAAGCUCUGUUGUUGGAGAAGAACGUGUGUGAGAGUAACUGUUCACGCAGUGACGGUAUCCAACCAGAAAGUCACGGCUAACUACGUGCCAGCAGCCGCGGUAAUACGUAGGUGGCAAGCGUUAUCCGGAUUUAUUGGGCGUAAAGCGAGCGCAGGCGGUUGCUUAGGUCUGAUGUGAAAGCCUUCGGCUUAACCGAAGAAGUGCAUCGGAAACCGGGCAACUUGAGUGCAGAAGAGGACAGUGGAACUC